AUUAUAAUUAGGGACAGAGGGAGU
rnacentral:miRNA from 1 species